CCGCGAGCUGCGCCCUUCCCCGCGCCGCGGCCGGCGAACCCGCGGCCCGCGCCCCGCAGGUGGCCACCAUUACGUGCAAGUCAUUGGGGGCGCGGGCACCCGAAGUGGUUCUGCUUACAGCUGCUGGGGUCCUGUUCCUCAGCUCCAGGUCUAAGUCAUUGAGGCUGGAAUUGAACUUGAGAUCCUCCUGCCUUCACCUCCUGAGUUGCUGGGAUUACAGGAAAAGGCCACUGCACCUGACUAUAACCACUGUUGAGGCUUCUGCUAAAUUGCCCAGGUGAGCCUCCAACUUGUGAUCUUCCUGUCUCAGCCAUGAGUCAUUGGGAUUACAGGCUUGUGCAACCCUGCCCAGCUCCUUGGUCUCUCUUGAGGAACUUGGAACAUACUCCAUCCCCUCCUCCAUCCUUAGCCAGCAUCCCCACCAUCUGGACCCUCUCAUACCCCACAGGGAUUUCCUUGUCCCCUUGGAACUGAGGCUGAUCUGAGUCCAGCUUCUGCUGACUAAAGUUGCCAUCUGCUCUCCAGCAUGCCUGCCUUACCCAGCCCAGCCAGGAGCCCCUUGGCUGGCAUGCUCCUCCCUCAUUCUGGACCCAGGUGCCACAGAGGUGGUUUACACGGUUCUUAAUUUGGUAGUCUCUUGUUUGGUAAAGGUCAAAUUCCUGGAUACCCUCACAUUUCUAACUCUCUGAAUAUCAGAGCAUCCAGGAUCCUAGUUUCUUUUUGUACUUAUGUGUGCAUGUACUAUAGCAAAAUUGGAAACUAUAGUUAAACAAAAGGAAGAAAAUAAAAAUUUCUGUCCCAGGCUAA